rnacentral:rRNA from 1 species
UACGAGGGGGGCGAGCGUUGUUCGGAAUUAUUGGGCGUAAAGGGUGCGUAGGCGGUUUGAUAAGUCUGAUGUGAAAUCUAUGGGCUCAACCCAUAGCCUGCAUUAGAAACUGUCGGGCUUGAGUAUGGGGAGAGGUGAGUGGAAUUUCCGGUGUAGCGGUGAAAUGCGUAGAUAUCGGAAGGAACACCUGUGGCGAAAGCGGCUCACUGGACCAUUCGUGACGCUGAUGCACGAAAGCUAGGGGGAGCAAACAGG